AAAUUGAAGAGUUUGAUCAUGGCUCAGAUUGAACGCUGGCGGCAGGCCUAACACAUGCAAGUCGAACGGUAACAGGAAGCAGCUUGCUGCUUCGCUGACGAGUGGCGGACGGGUGAGUAAUGUCUGGGAAGCUGCCUGAUGGAGGGGGAUAACUACUGGAAACGGUGGCUAAUACCGCAUAACGUCGCA
rnacentral:rRNA from 1 species